rnacentral:rRNA from 1 species
UACGGGGGGGGCAAGCGUUGUUCGGAAUUACUGGGCGUAAAGGGCUCGUAGGCGGCCAACUAAGUCAGACGUGAAAUCCCUCGGCUUAACCGGGGAACUGCAUCUGAUACUGGAUGGCUUGAGUUUGGGAGAGGGACGCGGAAUUCCAGGUGUAGCGGUGAAAUGCGUAGAUAUCUGGAGGAACACCGGUGGCGAAGGCGGCGUCCUGGACCAACACUGACACUGAGGAGCGAAAGCCAGGGGAGCAAACGGG